GACGUAGGGCGCGAGCGUUGUCCGGAUUUAUUGGGCGUAAAGAGCUCGUAGGCGGCUUGUCGCGUCGAAUGUGAAAUCUCAGGGCUCAACUCUGACAUUGCAUUCGAUACGGGCAGGCUUGAGUUCGGUAGGGGAGACUGGAAUUCCUGGUGUAGCGGUGAAAUGCGCAGAUACCAGGAGGAACACCGGUGGCGAAGGCGGGUCUCUGGGCCGAUACUGACGCUGAGGAGCGAAAGCGUGGGGAGCGAACAGG
rnacentral:rRNA from 1 species